rnacentral:piRNA from 1 species
UCCAAUCAUACACCGAGCAGCGGACUCUGU